UUUUUGGAACGAAAAAACACAGUCUGGUUGGUAGUCCAGGCACUAGGAUGACUCUAUAUUUCAAGAGCGCCGUGUCAGUAGCCUUCCCCCCUCGGGAUGUCCAUCGUUUCCGAUUUAAAU
rnacentral:ncRNA from 1 species